UACGGGGGGGGCAAGCGUUGUUCGGAAUUACUGGGCGUAAAGGGCUCGUAGGCGGCCAACUAAGUCGGAUGUGAAAUCCCCAGGCUUAACUUGGGAACUGCAUCCGAUACUGGAUGGCUUGAAUCCGGGAGAGGGAUGCGGAAUUCCAGGUGUAGCGGUGAAAUGCGUAGAUAUCUGGAGGAACACCGGUGGCGAAGGCGGCAUCCUGGACCAAUACUGACACUGAGGAGCGAAAGCCAGGGGAGCAAACGGG
rnacentral:rRNA from 1 species